AAGCCUCUGUAUCCACUGAAGCCUUGCGUAACACGCGGGAGUAGUCGUAGGUGGUGCGGGGGCUU
rnacentral:sRNA from 1 species